CUAAUUUGUAAAUGAAAAUGGUCACCAUCACUAAUCAUUAGAGAAAUGCAAAUCAAAAGCACAAUGAUGUAUCAUUUCAUCCCAGUUAGAAUUGCUAUAAAAAGUAAUGAAUGAUGUGAAGACGUGGAAAAAAGGGAACUCUAAAAACGUUGUUAGGAAUGAAAAUUAGGACAGCCACUGUGAAAAACAGUAUGAAGAUUUCUCAAAAAAAAAAAAAAUCUUAAAA